AAAAUAUCUCUCUGGGAAGAACAUGUGGAGGGGAGCAUCUGUCAGCCUUGGAGCUGGUAGGUGCCAGUCAGAAGGGGAGUCCUGGAAGAGGUCAGGUUCAGAGACCAGAAAGGCAAUGCAGAAGUGGAAGCCAAGGACUUGCUGGGUAUCUCCACCAGACAAUUCGGCUGGGGCUGGGGCUGCAGAGACAACUGGGGGUUAGGGGCGAGAGGGGCCCACUCAUCACAAGCAGAGCCCUAAGUGGGGCAAGGUGAGAACCGGGAGCUUAGACCGGCAGGGAGUUGACUGCAGGCAGGAGGAGGGGCAAUCACAGAACUUUGCAGGAAGUUUCUGAGGCACCGGGCUAGAAGGCUUCCUUAAGUCAGGUGUGUAUGAGAACAAGGCGUUAAAGGUGUGUUUUCACGGUCUAAUUUUUCCAAGAAAGGGGCCUCAGUGGCCUGUUGGGCCCAGGUUUAGCGUUUAGAGCACCGAGAGCUCUGAGGAGGAGGAACUGCGUGCCAGACGGGGCCUCGGGGCGCUCGGGGCUCCGAGCAGGGAGCCGGGCAGGUCCCCCGCUCAGUCUGAGUACUGUGGAAGCAAGGAGAGGGCCGGCAGGGGCGCCCGCCAGAGCCCGGGACACCGAGGAUUUGUCAAAGCCCCCGGCUGGAGGGGGCGCGUCUGUCAGACGGGGCAGGGGCCGUGUCCGGGCCGAAGUGACGCGGAGCGGGCUUCCUCGCCGGAGUGACUGAGACUGCGGCGCGCCACCCUCAGAGCCAGCUCUGCCUCCCAGCCACCAGAGACACCACAGGUGUGUAGGCUGAAUGCCCAGGGGACAGCCUUCAGCAAAGGGUUGUCAAUUACAUUUUUGUUGAAUGAAGAAACGGAGGAACAGACCAGUUGCCAUCCUCUGGGAGUCUGCUGGACCCAUCCCAGGUGGGAUCAGGGCCCUCGUCCUGGCUUCCUCAGCCCCCAGUGUCGCCCAUCACAGCCCUGGACACUCAGCAUCUUAACUGCCUGGUUUCACAGCUGCCUGCCCUGUGCCUCUUACCCCCAGCAUGCCAAACCCCCGCCAGCACCUCUCCAAGGGGCUCCAUGUCUGCCAGUGUCAGAGGCAUCCGGGGCGCUCAGGUUAGAGACGAACCUCCAGAAUCAGAACCCUGGUGCCUGGGAAUCUGCACACCUCACAGGCAGCCCUCAGGAGUUCUGAAGCCAGCCAGUAACACCACUGCUGUUACUGGGCCAUGAACUCCAGGAGAGCGGGGGGCUGCUUUUCCGUUCACUGCUGUGUCUCCAAAUGCCCAAAAGAGAGGGGACCUCGCUCAAUAAAUAUUU